rnacentral:rRNA from 1 species
GUAGGUGGCAAGCGUUGUCCGGAAUUAUUGGGCGUAAAGCGCGCGCAGGGCGGUCCUUUAAGUCUGAUGUGAAAGCCCACGGCUCAACCGUGGAGGGUCAUUGGAAACUGGGGGACUUGAGUACAGAAGAGGAAAGCGGAAUUCCAAGUGUAGCGGUGAAAUGCGUAGAGAUUUGGAGGAACACCAGUGGCGAAGGCGGCUUUCUGGUCUGUAACUGACGCUGAGGCGUGAAAGCGUGGGGAGCAAACAGGAUUAGAUACCCUGGUAGUCCACGCCGUAAACGAUGAGUGCUAAGUGUUAGGGGGUUUCCGCCCCUUAGUGCUGCAGCUAACGCAUUAAGCACUCCGCCUGGGGAGUACGGCCGCAAGGCUG